AAACUUAGAGUGAGCCUUAUUCAACCACUCCGCCCGGGAAUUACGAACAUAAGUUUAAAACCCAAAGGACUUGACGGUGCUUUACAUCCGACUAGAGGAGCCUGUUCUACAACCGAUAACCCCCGUUAAACCUCACCCUCCCUUGCUCCAUACCGCCUAUAUACCGCCGUCGUCAGCUUACCCUUUUGAUGGCCUAGCAGUAAGCAAAACUGGCAAAGCCCAGAACGUCAGGUCGAGGUGUAGUGAAUGAGAGGGGAAGAAAUGGGCUACAUUUGCUAAUUAAGCAAAAACGAAUAUCGUAUUGAAACAUACAAUUGAAGGAGGAUUUAGCAGUAAGCAGGAAAUAGAGUGUCCU
rnacentral:rRNA from 1 species